AGGCACGGGGAGAAAAGCUCCAGAGUUUGUAAAUAUACAAAGGCAUACAAAGGCAAGUAAACACAUACAGAGUCAUUUCACAUAUACAGAGACAAAGUACAAUUCAUAACAUUUUAGAAGUACAAAGAGA